AGGCGGUGGCGGCGGGAGCUGCCUCCUCUCCGGGCGGCGGCGCUGACUGAUCUCGCGAACUGGGCUUCUGUGUAAACUGAGGCUAAACAAACACAGAUGGAGCGCAGCGGGCGUUCUCCAGAAAUGCUGGCAAGGCGGCAGCGACUUCAGAUGACACUCUGAGCGCUCCGGGAACGGACAGCCCAGCGGCUUCCCGAAGCCGGCGGCGCAGCUGCCCCGGGCGAGGGGGAGAAAGGGAGAGAGGGAGGGGGAGAGCGGGCGAAGGGGGAGAGCCAGAGACUCCUCGGCGCUGAGCACGGCGGCGGCCCGGGCAGCCCCACGCCCCUGCCUUGCGCGCCGCCCGCGCCAUGAAGCACAUCCCGGUCCUCGAGGACGGGCCGUGGAAGACCGUGUGCGUGAAGGAGCUGAACGGCCUCAAGAAGCUCAAGCGGAAAGGCAAGGAGCCGGCGCGGCGCGCGAACGGCUAUAAAACUUUCCGACUGGACUUGGAAGCGCCCGAGCCCCGCGCCGUCGCCACCAACGGGCUGCGGGACAGGACCCAUCGGCUGCAGCCCGUCCCGAUCCCGGUGCCGGUGCCAGUCCCAGUGGCGCCGGCCGUUCCCCCAAGAGGGGGCACGGACACAGCCGGGGAGCGCGGGGGCUCCCGGGCGCCCGAGGUCUCUGACGCGCGGAAACGCGGCUUCGCCCUCGGCGCAGUGGGGCCAGGACUCCCCACGCCGCCGCCGCCGCCGCCGCCGCCGCCGCCGCCGCCUCCUGCUCCCCAGAGCCAGGCACCUGGGGGCCCAGAGGCACAGCCUUUCCGGGAGCCGGGUCUGCGUCCUCGCAUCUUGCUGUGCGCACCGCCCGCGCGCCCCGCGCCGUCAGCACCCCCAGCACCGCCAGCGCCUCCGGAGUCCACUGUGCGCCCUGCGCCCCCAACGCGCCCCGGGGAAAGUUCCUACUCGUCAAUUUCACACGUAAUUUACAAUAACCACCCGGAUUCCUCCGCGUCGCCUAGGAAACGACCAGGCGAAGCGACUGCCGCCUCCUCCGAGAUCAAAGCCCUGCAGCAGACCCGGAGGCUCCUGGCGAACGCCAGGGAGCGGACGCGGGUGCACACCAUCAGCGCAGCCUUCGAGGCGCUCAGGAAGCAGGUGCCGUGCUACUCGUAUGGGCAGAAGCUGUCCAAACUGGCCAUCCUGAGGAUCGCCUGUAACUACAUCCUGUCCCUGGCGCGGCUGGCUGACCUCGACUACAGUGCCGACCACAGCAACCUCAGCUUCUCCGAGUGUGUGCAGCGCUGCACCCGCACCCUGCAGGCCGAGGGACGUGCCAAGAAGCGCAAGGUCCCUGGGGAGCUUGGAGGCCAGAAGCCCAGGCCUUGCGCCUGUGCCCAGAAUAACCUCUGCAAAGCCUGGCCCUUGGAGAAGAUGUGAAAGCAGAUCUGUCAAAUGCAAGGAUGUCCAGGCUUGAGUGUUAAAGAAAACACCAACGCAGCUUAUGAUGCAGCUUGUACAGCGUAAUUCCACUUUUCGUAAAAUACUGAGUGACUGGCUGCAGGCAAGACCAAGGCCACCACUGUGGGCCCUCCUUCCAGUCAGGCCUGAGGACAAGGUGAGCUCGCUGAGUCCAGCCUCGUGGUCUUCUCCAAGAUGCCGCCAGAUGCCCAGCAUACAGCCUCUCAGGGUCGGAUCGGAGCACACCUGCCUCCCUCUCCCCUCCGCCCUCACCCAGCCGCUCCGAGGCUGCUUCACACUUUGCCCUCUGCCUGGUGGGGAGGGGAGAGCUCAGCCCCCCCACUCAGACCCCAAGGCCCACUGUCCAGCUGCAGAAAUUCGUUGCCAAAGAUUGGACAGAGACACCGAAGGAAAUGGGGUGAUGAAACCCCACAGCGAAAAGCCACACCGUUGCUCUGUGACUUUUGCUCCUCCUGUUGCCUGAGCCCCAUCUCAAGCCAAAGAUGAGUCAGUGGUUCUGCCAGGAACUCAUGGAAGGGAUGGGCAUUUGAUGACCCCUGGGGGUCAUCUUGGCCCUCUGACCUGGCGCUCUCUCUCCACUGGGCCUUGCGCUGGCUGAGUGCAAGACAAGCCUUAGGGGCUGUGAGAGGGAGGCUGGGGUGCCUGGGCGAGGCCGGGAGUGGGGCCCAAGAUCCCUGCCCACUCUCUCCCCUUCAUUGGCUGCCCAGGCCGCUGGCCCCAGUUCUCAGUGUCCCCUGGGUCCAGGCUCCUUGGGCCCUGAGCAUUACCAGAAGGGAGUAAGCAGGGAGAGAAGCAAUAUUACUCCCUCCCCUACACCAGGGACUUGCCCCAGGGCAGCUCCCUAUGGGUCUUUGCUCCCCCAGCCAGCCUCUCCUUACUGUGACCCACCCCCAUGGGCCCCCAUCCCAGGCAGCCAGCACCAUGGGCAGGCCCUGCCAUGGACAGAAAAAGAGUUUUUCUCUUGUUCAGCCUGCCCGUGGCCUGAGGAAGGAGUGGAGGCUGGGUUGGCUGGAGCAGUCCUACUGGGCAAGAUGGCGCCCCACUUGGAGGGCGGUGGUCUGUUACAGGGUGUGCAGGGGCAGAGGAGGAAGGGACCAGGGGACUGGGCCAGUAUGUGGAGGACGGGGGGUGUGUUCAAAGCCAAGGCCUGCCCCUUCCUUGUGCUCAAAUGGCCAAAGCUGUUCACGUCUGUGCUCAACCAUCUGCUUCAAAUUGAAGUAAAAGCCCCAAAAUGUCAAGAAAA